UGUUAAAAAUUCAAUCUAUUUUUACUGUUAAAAAUUAACUAUAUAGUCAAAAUAGCUAGACAAAUACACAUAACGUGCCACGUGUAUUUUAUUGUGACGUACAUGAAUAAAUUUUUAAUAGUAGAAAUUAAUGAAUUUUUUUUACA
rnacentral:pre_miRNA from 1 species